rnacentral:lncRNA from 1 species
AAUCUGACUCCACCCUCUCAAAAUCUCCUCUAAACUUCUGAUUCUCCUUCUUUAGGACCCUCACAAUCUUUGUUAGGACCAGAUAAGGCUUUGUCUUAAAUCCCAAAGCCUUGUCCUAAAACUAUGAUAGGUUGUAAGAAAGAAGGGAGAGCAACCAGAGAGAAAUUGAAAAUCUAAUUUGAAUGCCUCGGACACCCAGCAUCAGGUACUUUUAAAACCACAAGAG